GGCUCUUGAUCUUCCUCUAAGGGGAAUGACCAUGACUUGAGAAACUUGUUUUGCUAUUCGAGCUGAAUGGAGCAGCCAUCCUUCAGUCUUGAGAGACCAUGGAGUUGUGGAUUGCACAUCUUCAGCUGCAGCAGUCUUCCUCAGCAUGGGCUGGCAACUCUUUUCCAAUACGGGGAUGCCGAGCAUUUUUAAAGCAUUCAAAAGAAACCCUUGAUGAUAAAAUCUACUGUUACUGAAAGGAACAAGAUGCAUGCAAAUCCCCAGUUCAUUAUCCCCUGUAACCUCUUCUCUCAAAGGCACUUUCUAUUCAUAAAAGAAGAUACAGAAGCUACUCGGAAGAGCUUAGAAUUUGAUGCACUAGGGCCAAUGGAAUGUCUUCCAAUGACAUACUGAGUUUUGGUCAGGUCCUAACUGGAAUCUCUCUGUUUACUUCAGUGGCAGAUGGCUCAGAUCCUGAAAGAACAGUUAUUUCUUCACGGCAUUAAAAUGUUCAGGGAACAGCUCAACAGUCUAUUUCGUCAUUGACAUUGUAGGUUAAUGUGAGUUAUGUGCGUGUGUUAACAGUAGAAUGUAGCUUAUUGGAUGUAAAGAGAAAAUCCUUAUGCUUUAAAGUCUUUGCAUCUGUAACAUGAUAUCAUUUGAAAUACUUAAUUUAAUUAUCUUUAAGCUGCAUUGUUCCUCUUUAAAAUAAAUCAUGUUUAAUUUUCUGGGGACGGUGUUAACAAAUGCAUUGUUUAUUAGUACUCAUUUCCAGUGGAGAGUGCAGCACCAUUUUGUUACCAGUCUGUCGUAUCAAUUAAUCUUCAGAAUGUGUUAGUGCUUUUCAUUUGUUUAACGCAGCCUGAGUUUGCUACCAAUUGAAUGAAAUGUUAUUAU